rnacentral:rRNA from 1 species
UGUCCUACGGGACGCAGCAGUAGGGAAUCUUCCACAAUGGGCGAAAGCCUGAUGGAGCAACGCCGCGUGGGUGAAGAAGGGCUUCGGAUCGUAAAACCCCGUUGUUAGAGAAGAAAGUGCGUGAGAGUAACUGUUCACGUUUCGACGGUAUCUAACCAGAAAGCCACGGCUAACUACGUGCCAGCAGCCGCGGUAAUACGUAGGUGGCAAGCGUUAUCCGGAUUUAUUGGGCGUAAAGGGAACGCAGGCGGGCUUUUAAGUCUGUUGUGAAAGCCUUCGGCUUAACCGGAGUAGUGCAUUGGGAA